rnacentral:rRNA from 1 species
AGGACGAACGCUGGCGGCGUGCUUAACACAUGCAAGUCGAGCGAGGCCCUGCCUUCGGGUGGGUGUUCUAGCGGCGAACGGGUGAGUAACACGUGGGCAACCUGCCCUCAGCUCUGGGAUAACUCCAAGAAAUUGGGGCUAAUACCGGAUAUGACCGCUGACCGCAUGGUCUGGUGGUGGAAAGAUUUAUCGGCUGGGGGAUGGGGCCCGCGGCCUAUCAGCUUGUUGGUGGGGUAGUGGCCUACCAAGGCGACGACGGGUAGCCGGCCUGAGAGGGUGACCGGCCACACUGGGACUGAGACACGGCCCAGACUCCUACGGGAGGCAGCAGUGGGGAAUAUUGCGCAAGUGGGCGAAAGCCUGACGCGAGCGACGCCGGCGGUGGGAUGGACGGCCGUUCGGGUUAGUAAACCUCGUUUACUAGCGAGGACGAAGCGAG